AUGAUUUGUGUAAGAGCAGCAGGACAGGCUAUGUACAAAGGUAAGACAAUUCAUCUAACAAAGAGGCCGUGGAGAGAGUUAUCAAGGAAGACAGCCUUCAAUAAUUACUUUACCAUCACUCUUUUCCAGAAAGGGGUGGAAUUAUCAGGAUGGAAUCAAGGAUGCUUCCAAACAGAGGGAAUAUCUCAAGCUAUGACUCAGAGAGUUUUCCCCACAUCGUUAAUGGUAUGGGAAUUAGGAGCAGGUCAUGUGACUCACAUGGCUCACCAUAUAAUUCCUUCUGGAGAGCAGCUGGAAGUUGCUUAUAGCCUCUCUCAGAAGGACUUGUCAGCACAAACAAUGCAGAUUGCAAAAUGAGAAAAUCUGAAACAAAUGCACGUGCUCAAAUCUCCUAGGCAGGACAUUUGUGGAAGGAGAGACUCCACAUCAACGUCAUUUCUGGUCCCUGAAGACUACUUCAUGUAUUUACCAUUCAAGCUAUUCAAGGAGUCUGUCAUAAUUGCGCUAAGUUCUUUGACCACUGGAGCACAUGAGCUGACUUAAAAAAUGAAGGAUUACCAACAAAAAUGAAAGGGUCUGUCAUAAAGACAAGUUACUGAGAAAUGUGUGUGAUUUGAAAAAUAAGAUGAUGGCAGGACACGGUGGCUCACGUCUGUAAUCCCAGCACUUUGGGAGACCGAGGCGGGCAGAUCACAAGGUCAAGAAAUCGAGACCAUCCUGACCAACACGGUGAAACCCCACCUCAACUAAAAAUACAAAAAUUAGCUGGGCGUGGUGGCAUGCGCCUGUAGUUCCAGCUACUUAGGAAGCUGAGGCAGGAGAAUCAUUUGAACCCCAGAGGCAGAGGUGGCAGUGAGCUGAGAUGGUACCACUAGUGACAGAGCAAGAAUCCGUCAAAAAAUAAAAAAUAAAAAGAAAAAUAAGAUGAUCUAUCCAGUAUCAGCAAGACUGUGCUAAUUCUGGGCUUGAAACUAAGUCACAAAAGGAGGCUAGGUAGACCCAUAGGGUGUACAAUAAAAGCUAAGAUGUUGCAGUUAGUAUGCUAAAAUUCAACAACGAUGAUAGCUGAUAUACAUAGAAUAGUUACUGUGUUCCAGGAGCCUUUUCAUUGUAUCCCAACAACACUCCAGUGAGAAGAUUGCCAUUUCUAUCCAAUCUAUGUAUAUAAAGAAACUCCUGAACAGAGAUAUGUAAUAAGUGCCCAAGUUAAGACACAUUCUAUGUACUGUAGCCAAGCCUUCCAUUGGGCCACAUUGUCUCUAGAACCCACACUCUUAAUGGCUGGACGUUUUUUUCACUGGGAUUAGAAAAAGAGGGUAGAGAGGAGAAUAAUGAGGUUGAGGGUGUGUCUACCUUUAAUUUUCUAGCAGUUCAUAUAAGGUUAAUACUCAUGUAUAGCACAACAACAACAGAAAAAGCAAAAUAAUUCUCAUCACCCAGUUAGAGAAUUUAAAUUAUGGAAUAUAAGUUGCCAGCAUAUAAUGAUACCAAGGCUGGGAAUAAAUAAUGGAAGGAGGGAAAAAAUGCUGAGUCACUGUCCUUGUGAUGAUUAGUGGGGCCAGAAAAAGGGCCAUAUAAAAGAGGUCAUCAGUUCUGUCUUUUUCACUUUCCCAGACCAGAUAGUGGGACAUAGGCUUCCAAAAUUACGAUAAUUAUGUCUGACCACAUGUAUAAAACCUCAUGUUAUUAAUGAUAAUGAUAAUAAGUAGUUCUUCAGACACAAUUCCAUAACUGGGACAAUUUCCUUUAGCAUAUAUAUAUUCAUAGCAUUAUUGUUCUUUCCACUUAUUAUAGCUAUUGUUCCUUUAUGUAACUCUCUUUUAUGAAUUGCCUACUGGACUUAUUCAUUCUGUAAGGCUCUCAUUCUGUAAGGUAGGGUAUUUACAUUGCUUUUGAAUCAACAUUAUAGCUCCUGAGUAUUAACACAAACUAUACAAUAAGUAUCCUUCCAGUAAGUUAAAAGGAUGGGUUUGAUUUUCUGAUUUCCGAGCCUAAAGCUUAUCAGAGCAUGUGGUAGUGGAAGUUGUCGUAGUUUUAAUGGGGAGAAAAGAUGGCUGAUGGGAAUGAAAAGGACAAACUACCCGGGAAAAACAAAACAAAACCAAAACCAAAACCAAAAAGCACGGAAAAACUAACAUCAAGGCACCAAAACAACAAAAAUAGAACUCAAACAGGGAUGUUGGGCUAAAGCCUUCAGACAUUCCUUUAAAAGAAUAAAUUGUGUUAUAUGAUUCAGUUGUCCUCACCUCAUCCAUUUCAGUGUAUCACUAUUUGUGGGAGAUGAAUAAACUAUGAGGUGGAGUAGUUGAGGAUUUUGUAAAAACGACAUUUUUUUACAAAUACACACACAUACACACACACACAGAGAAAUAAAGAAAUAAUUGUUUCUUCAACCACUGUUGGGGAGGAAAAAAACAGUAACAAAUGCACAAUAACUAUAACUAGUCUCUUUUUCAAAGACGAGACAAAGUAAGAUUAACCUAGAGAGGGGGACUUGAGCUGUUUCCUUUUGCAUACAAACCUCACAUCCUUCCUAAACAAUUAGUUUUGGUUGUACUCCACAGUGCUCAAACUAAUUCAAUAACAUUCCCUCGGGAUUUCAUCCCUCAGCUACUGUUGGCAUCAUCAUUUUUCCCCACAAAGACUUGCAUUGGAAGACGAUGUUAAUUAGCAAAAGAUAAUAUAGCCUCAGUGAAAAGAUCGUGUUCAAUUUUCUGUACUAAAUGCCAUGUUGGAUCUUUCUUUUAAGAGAAACAUCAUUUACGUUAGCACUAAAAUUACAAUCACAGCUCAAUAGACACAGUGACGGCAAUACAAAUAUAAUGUUUUUAAUAAUUCCAAAGUGUCUAAUUUUGUUUUUAGUGGUAAAAUCAACACCAGGGCACUCUCCUUGUGGAUAUCUCUUAUCUAAGAUACAAACAAAAAUCAUCCUGGGAAAAGAGAUCUGGAUAUGAUAAAUUGUUUCUACUACCUGCCCGACUUUAUUUGUGUUUUAGACCUAUGAUGUUGACAUGUUCACAUAAACAACAUGAUCUCCAUAUAUCACACACAUAAAAAGAAAGCCAAAUUUCUUAGUAGUUAUGAGCAGAAAUAUUAGAGUUACAUAUUUCUGGGAAUUUUUUAAAAAGCACUCCAGUGCUGAUAGAUCUUGGGGAAGUUAAUUAACCUUACCAAGGAUUGGGUUUUUCAUUUUAAAAAUGAGAAUACUAAUUCCAAACUCACAGAUACAGUGUCCAAGAAAUAAGACCAUGACGAAUGGAAAGUGCCUAGUACAGUAAAUCCAGCAUAAACCCAGUUAUAGCACUCACAGUCCUGCUUCCUCCUUACAUCCAUUCAAUCACAUCCAUAUAUGUCCUGACAGCAUGCCAAGAGAGAGGGUCUUAUAUUCUUAAAUGGAGAGAUCCAUGUAACCUCAUCCCAUAGGUUGAGGUUGCUAUGUCAUCUCCUUGGCAUAGAUGUGUUGAAACUUUCUAUCACUUUCAAAGAGCCAUGUCAUUGGAGUAACCACAGGAUUGUUAGUGAAAAGUAGCAGGACUCAUGUUCACUCCUGCUAUUUAGUUAUGGUAAUAACAAUUA
ensembl:lncRNA